rnacentral:rRNA from 1 species
AGAGCGAACGCUGGCGGCAGGCUUAACACAUGCAAGUCGAGCGGGCGUAGCAAUACGUCAGCGGCAGACGGGUGAGUAACGCGUGGGAACAUACCUUUUGGUUCGGAACAACACAGGGAAACUUGUGCUAAUACCGGAUAAGCCCUUACGGGGAAAGAUUUAUCGCCGAAAGAUUGGCCCGCGUCUGAUUAGCUAGUUGGUGAGGUAACGGCUCACCAAGGCGACGAUCAGUAGCUGGUCUGAGAGGAUGAUCAGCCACAUUGGGACUGAGACACGGCCCAAACUCCUACGGGAGGCAGCAGUGGGGAAUAUUGGACAAUGGGCGCAAGCCUGAUCCAGCCAUGCCGCGUGAGUGAUGGAAGGCCCUAGGGUUGUAAAGCUUCUUUUGUGCGGGAAGAUAAUGACGGUACCGCAAGAAUAAGCCCCGGACUAACUUCGUGCCAGCAGCCGC